rnacentral:tRNA from 54 species
GCCUGGGUGGCGAAAUUGGUAGACGCAGUUGAUUCAAAAUCAACCGCCUUCGGGUGUGCCGGUUCGAGUCCGGCCCUAGGCACCA